GAUUAACGCUGGCGGCGUGCAUAACACAUUCAAGUCGAACGAAGCACUUAAGACGGAGACUUCGGUCAAAGUCUUCUGUGACUUAGUGGCGGACGGGUGAGUAACGCGUGAGCAACCUGCCUUCGUAUGGGGGACAACGUCUGGAAACGGACGCUAAUACCGCAUAAAGCACCUCUGACGCAUGUCUAGGGUGUUAAAGAUUUAUCGUACGAAGAUGGGCUCGCGUCUGAUUAGCUAGUUGGUGGGGCAACGGCCUACCAAGGCGACGAUCAGUAGCCGGACUGAGAGGUUGAACGGCCACAUUGGAACUGAGAUACGGUCCAGACUCCUACGGGAGGCAGCAGUGGGGAAUAUUGGGCAAUGGGCGAAAGCCUGACCCAGCGACGCCGCGUGAAGGAAGAAGGCCUUCGGGUUGU
rnacentral:rRNA from 1 species